ACGGGAGGCGCAGUGGGGGAUAUUGCGCAAUGGGGGCAGCCCUGACGCAGCAACGCCGCGUGAAGGAAGACGGUUUUCGGAUUGUAAACUUCUUUAAGUGUGGAAGAAAUUGACGGUACACACAGAAUAAGCCACGGCUAACUACGUGCCAGCAGCCGCGGUAAUACGUAGGUGGCAAGCGUUGUCCGGAUUUACUGGGUGUAAAGGGCGUGUAGGCGGGAUUACAAGUCAGAUGUGAAAUACCGAGGCUUAACUUCGGGGCUGCAUUUGAAACUGUAGUUCUUGAGUGCUGGAGAGGAAAGCGGAAUUCCUAGUGUAGCGGUGAAAUGCGUAGAUAUUAGGAGGAACACCAGUGGCGAAGGCGGCUUUCUGGACAGUAACUGACGCUGAGGCGCGAAAGUGUGGGGAGCAAACAGGAUUAGAUACCCUGGUA
rnacentral:rRNA from 1 species